GUAAGUAUUUCACUACUAUCCUCGUGGUUGCUGUCUGUUGGUAACUAUUUACUGUUUACUCACUUCUUUGUCAAAUUUUAAAUAUUGACAAAAUAAGUAAGUUAUUUAAACUUUUGUAGAUAUUGUCACUGUAUUCAGUUAAUUAAAAGAAAUUAAAUUCUAUUGAACACAAUGUUUUUGUAGUGCGUUUCACAUCAAGAUUACACCGUAUCCAGUGACAAUUUCUACUUUAAUCAAUGAUGGUUUUUGAAAAUAAAACAUAAAUUGAAGAGAGGAAGAGUACAAAUAGAUUUAAAAAGUGAUCUCAGAUAUUGAUGAUUACUUAUGGAAUUCAAAAAUAACCACAAGUCCUUCAUAUAAGUUUCUCAGUUGUAACUAUCCAAAUCAAUCAGCUUUAACAGUUUUUCAGGAUCAAAAAAGUCAAAAUCAG